rnacentral:tRNA from 1 species
GGCACUUUGGCGGAGUGGUUAACGCGAUGCCCUGCUAUUGCGUUGAGCGAAAGUUGGUAGGCAUUUCCCUCGGGAGCGUGUGUUCGAAUCACACAGGUGUCG